rnacentral:rRNA from 1 species
GAUGAACGCUGGCGGCGUGCCUAAUACAUGCAAGUCGAGCGAACGGACGAGAAGUUUGCUUCCUUGAUGUUAGCGGCGGACGGGUGAGUAACACGUGGAUAACCUACCUAUAAGACUGGGAUAACUUCGGGAAACCGGAGCUAACACCGGAUGAUAUUUUGAACCGCAUGGUUCAACAGUGAAAGACGGUCUUGCUGUCACUUAUAGAUGGAUCCGCGCUGCAUUAGCUAGUUGGUAAGGUAACGGCUUACCAAGGCAACGAUGCAUAGCCGACCUGAGAGGGUGAUAGGCCACACGGGAGCGGAGACGCGGUCAAGACUCCUGCGGGAGGCAGCAGUAGGGUAUCUUCCGCAAUGGGCGAGAGCCUGACGGAGCAAGGCCGCGUGAGUGAUGACGGUCUUCGGAUCGUAAAACUCUGUUAUUAGGGAAGAACAUAUGUGUAAGUAACUGUGCACAUCUUGACGGUACCUAAUCAGAAAGCCACGGCUAACUACGUG